CAGCGACAGCCAUGAAAAUGAAUGUUUUGGCUUCACCCAAAAUGAUGGAUAAUCCUGCUGGAAGAGCAUGACAAUGAUAGACAGACAUCUUCUGAAGGGGAAGGUUUUUGAUGCACAGUAACUCCACCAUAUCUCCUGUUAGAUGUUAAAUGCUGCAAGUUCAAUCUGAGAUGCACUGAGAGAAGCACCAGUGCUCCUGGGGUGUGCCCUGAGUGUGCCACACAUGGAAGUGCCUUGAAUUUUCACAGUGUAUGACUGUGGGGCAGGAGGAUGAUCACUGCAUGCCAAGCCUUGAGAAGUUGCAUCUUGCUAGACACUGCACUGAAAGCAGUCCAGAAGAAUAUGAGACCAGAACCUGACCACUCUAUAAUUCAUAAGUAAAUAAUACAGUGUGAGAUAAAUGGCAGACACAUCUGGGAAGAGCCACUGGAAAUUUUCAUACAUUGCUCACCUCUCUCUCUUGGCUGAUCCACAGAGUGAGUAUUCAUUAAAU